rnacentral:rRNA from 1 species
UUGACCUCAGAUCGGGCAGCAUUACCC